GGUUAUAUAUUUUAAAAAAAAAAUUAAAUUGCAAAUUUAAAAAUACAUGUUAUUGUUAUAGCUU
rnacentral:tRNA from 1 species